GCCAGGCAUGGUGGCGCAUACCUGUAGUCCCAGCUACUCAGGAGGCUGAGGCAGGAGGAUUGCUUGAGCCCAGGAGAUUGAGGUUGCUGUGAGCUAGGCUGAUGCCAUGGCAUUCACUGUAGCCUGGGCAACAAAGCAAGACUGUGUCUCAAAAAAAAAAAAAAAAAAAUAGAGACGGGGUCUCACUCUGUCUCUCAGGCUGGAGUGCAGUGGCGUGAUCAUAGCUUACUGCAACCUCAAACUCCUGGACUGAAGCGAUCCUCCAGCCUCA
rnacentral:sRNA from 1 species